rnacentral:rRNA from 1 species
UGGGGAUCGGCCAAAGCCCGCGAGGGACGGCCGGCCCCUAAAUCUAGUGGCGGACCCGUCGUGGCCUCCUCUGCGAAGUAGUGAUAUUCCGCAUCGGAGAGCGACGAGCCCCUGCCGUUAAACCCCCAACUUUCCAAGGUUGACCUCAGAUCAGGUAGGAAUACCCGCUGAACUUAAGCAUAUCAAUAAGCGGAGGAAAAGAAACCAACAGGGAUUGCCCUAGUAACGGCGAGUGAAGCGGCAACAGCUCAAAUUUGAAAUCUGGCGCAAGCCCGAGUUGUAAUUUGUAGAGGAUGUUUCUGGCGACGUGCCUUCCGAGUUCCCUGGAACGGGACGCCAUAGAGGGUGAGAGCCCCGUACGGUUG